rnacentral:misc_RNA from 1 species
GAAAUGCGAUACUUGGUGUGAAUUGCAGAAUCCCGUGAACCAUCGAGUCUUUGAACGCAUAUUGCGCUCUUUGGUAUUCCGAAGAGCAUGCUUGUUUGAGUAUCAGUAAACACCUCAAAGCUUUUGAUUUUUUUCAAAUGUUUUGGACUUGAGCAAUCCCAACACCAAUCUUUUUUAGAUCGGCGGCGGGUUGCUUGAAAUGCAGGUGCAGCUGGACAUUCUCCUGAGCUAAAAGCAUAUUUAUUUAGUCCCGUCAAACGGAUUAUUACUUUUGCUGCAGCUAAUAUAAAGGGAGUUUGACCAUUUUGGCUGACUGAUGCAGGAUUUCACAAGGGUCGGCAACGAUUCUUGUAAAACUCGAUCUCAAAUCAAGUAAGACUACCCGCUGAACUUAA